GAUGAACGCUGGCGGCGUGCUUAACACAUGCAAGUCGAACGGAGCGGCGGACGGGUGAGUAAUGCCUAUGAAUCUGCCUGGUAGUGGGGGAUAACGUCCGGAAACGGGCGCUAAUACCCCAUACUAUCAGCUGCACCUAGGUCGGAUUAGCUAGUUGGUGGGGUAAAGGCCUACAAAGGCGACGAUCCGUAACUGGUCUGAGAGGAUGAUCAAUCACACUGGAACUGAGACACGGUCCAGACUCCUACGGGAGGCAGCAGUGGGGAAUAUUGGACAAUGGGCGAAAGCCUGAUCCAGCCAUGCCGCGUGUGUGAAGAAGGUCUUCGGAUUGUAAAGCACUUGAAGUUGGGAGGCGUUACCAACAGAAUAAGCACCGGCUAACUUCGUGCCAGCAGCCGCGGUAAUAC
rnacentral:rRNA from 1 species